rnacentral:rRNA from 1 species
AUUGAACGCUGGCGGCAGGCCUAACACAUGCAAGUCGAGCGGCAGCGGGAAAGUAGCUUGCUACUUUUGCCGGCGAGCGGCGGACGGGUGAGUAAUGCCUGGGAAAUUGCCCAGUCGAGGGGGAUAACAGUUGGAAACGACUGCUAAUACCGCAUACGCCCUACGGGGGAAAGCAGGGGACCUUCGGGCCUUGCGCGAUUGGAUAUGCCCAGGUGGGAUUAGCUAGUUGGUGAGGUAAUGGCUCACCAAGGCGACGAUCCCUAGCUGGUCUGAGAGGAUGAUCAGCCACACUGGAACUGAGACACGGUCCAGACUCCUACGGGAGGAAGCAGUGGGGAAUAUUGCACAAUGGGGGAAACCCUGAUGCAGCCAUGCCGCGUGUGUGAAGAAGGCCUUCGGGUUGUAAAGCACUUUCAGCGAGGAGGAAAGGUUGAUGCCUAAUACGUAUCAACUGCGACGUUACUCGCAGAAGAAGCACCGGCUAACUCCGUGCCAGCAGCCGCAGUAA